GUUUCUUCUGUUUUAUCAGUGGAUCGGCGUUUGUCAGGACUCAGGAAGUUGUAGGGAUGAGUGCCUGAGGAAAACAGAAUAGACAGUGGGAGAGAGACUGAAAAAGGCCAGGGAGGAGGGAAUGAAAGAGAAGAAAAGUGGAAAAAAUACUCAGAUGAGACUGUGUAAAGCAGAUUAGAGAGCUCUUUCUUUCUCUUCUUCUUGGCUUCCCUUAUUCUCAUUUCUGUGGUUUGGCAUCUCACCAUAGAAGAGGAUUCAGGAAGUUUGGCUGGAUGGGAAACAAUUUCAUAUGACAUAUGACAGGGAAAGGAGUAUUUGUCUUUGUGUGUGAGACAGUCACCUUCAUCUCCACACAAAAUCCUCUGUCUACAGCCGACCCUGACCUCUCUGGCACCCAUGUGAUUCACCAGGUGCUGUACUGCAUGAGUGAAGGAAUCUAACCACUGUGCUGAAACGGGAAGGUUGAUGUUGCAGUUAGGCAAGCUAACUAUAAGUUUAGAGAUUUUUACCAUCUUCACAAUGUAACUUGUCCUGUACCCUUUGUGAUAUGAAAAUUAAUGACACCUGACUUUGUGUAUCUUGUUGAGGAGAUAUGUGUUUUAAGAGACUGGACUUU
ensembl:lncRNA